AAGACCUUGCAUUUGUCCGGGACAGACUGGGGCGAGAGAACACGAGAGAUUCCCAUUCGUUAAAGGAAAUAGAGGGCCUGGUUAGCCCUGACCGGCAUCCAUCUCCAAUUCACCCGCGUCAAGAAGGGCUCUCUUGCUCGCAGGAUAUCCCACACACGACCCGUCAAGGCUCCGACCAAGGGGUGUGGUGACAGGCAGCGGCGGCAGGAGCCGCCCAAAGGCAGAGCUGGAGGCAGCCAAAGUGGAGAGGCGCAGGUUUGAGGAGGCAGCACGAUGGCGUGGAUGGAAGCACGAGAGUCAGCUCCAAAAUUCUUGGGGGGCGGACAGGGAGAGUGUGGCAGAGUCAGGAGUCAGACCUGAGCCAACUCCCCCUGUUUAUCGUAAGGAGCCAAGGAGGAAACCAGAACCAGAGUUGAGCGAAGCAGAGACCGUGAAGGAGUUAAUGGGGAAAUUGGAGGAGAGGAGUUAUGAGGGAGUUGUUGUGUUGGUGCAUGAGGCACGGAAUUUGCCCGACGGAGCGUGUCGGGAUUUGAUGGCACCUGGGUCAGCUCUCUAUACUCGUCCUGAGGUGCGUGCUAGUCGUCUGGUGAAGAUUGUGCCAGCCUCACACACCAGGCCCCCUGUGCACCUCACUAGCCUGCUCUUAGCAGUGCUAACUGUGGCGGGCAUGGUACUGGUCAGGCACCGUGUAAUGCUGUGGAACACACGGUGUCCCCAGUACGCAUGCUUAGCCUAGUACGCUACAUCCCAGCACCCAGACCCUCCCCUAUUUUUAAUUUUACCUUUAUUUAACUAGGCAAGUCAGUUAAGAACAAAUUUUUAUUUUCAAUGACGGCCUAGAAACAGUGGGUUAACUGCCUGUUCAGGGGCAGAACGGCAGAUUUGUACCUUGUCAGCUCGGGGAUUUGAACUAGCAACCUUUCGGUUGCGAGUCCGAUGCUCUAACCACUAGGCUACCCUGCCGCCCUAAAACUAUGGGUUUAGGUGUGCGGCUGGGAGU